AAUUCUCAACUUUGCAAGCUUUUUUGCUUGUGAGGCUUGGAUGUGAGGGUUUUUGCUGGCUUCCAUUCAGUUGGAUGGUCUGCUCCCUUUAAAUUCAUUAGUGGGAUCCUUUGUGGAUGGUCACUUGGUGUGAUAAUUAUCUACGCCGCCUGACUCUGAAACAAGACUUGUGGGAACCUGCUUAUAACCGUCUCUUCAAGAGACAGCUUAUCUUGACA
rnacentral:misc_RNA from 1 species